rnacentral:rRNA from 1 species
UACGAGGGGGGCGAGCGUUGUCCGGAAUUAUUGGGCGUAAAGAGCUCGUAGGCGGUUUGUCGCGUCUGCUGUGAAAACCCGAGGCUCAACCUCGGGCCUGCAGUGGGUACGGGCAGACUAGAGUGCGGUAGGGGAGAUUGGAAUUCCUGGUGUAGCGGUGGAAUGCGCAGAUAUCAGGAGGAACACCGGGUGGCGAAGGCGGGUCUCUGGGCAACAACUGACGCUGAGGAGCGAAAGCGUGGGGGAGCGAACAGG